UACGGAGGGUGCAAGCGUUAUCCGGAUUCACUGGGUUUAAAGGGUGCGUAGGUGGGCUGGUAAGUCAGUGGUGAAAUCUCCGGGCUUAACUCGGAAACUGCCGUUGAUACUAUCAGUCUUGAAUGUUGUGGAGGUAAGCGGAAUAUGUCAUGUAGCGGUGAAAUGCUUAGACAUGACAUAGAACACCGAUAGCGAAGGCAGCUUGCUACACAAUAAUUGACACUGAGGCACGAAAGCGUGGGGAUCAAACAGG
rnacentral:rRNA from 1 species